rnacentral:rRNA from 1 species
GAUGAACGCUGGCGGCGUGCCUAAUACAUGCAAGUAGAACGCUGAAGGAGGAGCUUGCUCUUCUGGAUGAGUUGCGAACGGGUGAGUAACGCGUAGGUAACCUGCCUGGUAGCGGGGGAUAACUAUUGGAAACGAUAGCUAAUACCGCAUGACAACAGUUAUUGCAUGAUAACUGUUUAAAAGGGGCAACUGCUCCACUACCAGAUGGACCUGCGUUGUAUUAGCUAGUUGGUGAGGUAACGGCUCACCAAGGCGACGAUACAUAGCCGACCUGAGAGGGUGAUCGGCCACACUGGGACUGAGACACGGCCCAGACUCCUACGGGAGGCAGCAGUAGGGAAUCUUCGGCAAUGGACGGAAGUCUGACCGAGCAACGCCGCGUGAGUGAAGAAGGUUGUCGGAUCGUAAAGCUCGGUUGUAAGAGAAGAACGAGUGUGAGAGUGGAAAGUUCACACUGUGACGGUAUCUGACCAGAAAGGGACGGCUAACUACGUG